rnacentral:rRNA from 1 species
AUUGAACGCUGGCGGCAUGCUUUACACAUGCAAGUCGAACGGCAGCGCGGGCUUCGGCCUGGCUGCGAGUGGCGAACGGGUGAGUAAUACAUCGGAACGUGCCCAGCAGUGGGGGAUAGCUCGGCGAAAGCCGGAUUAAUACCGCAUACGCCCAGAGGGUGAAAGCGGGGGAUCUUCGGACCUCGCGCUAUUGGAGCGGCCGAUGGCAGAUUAGCUAGUUGGUGGGGUAAAGGCCUACCAAGGCGACGAUCCGUAGCUGGUCUGAGAGGACGACCAGCUACACUGGAACUGAGACACGGCCCAGACUCCUACGGGAGGCAGCAGUGGGGAAUUUUGGACAAUGGGCGAAAGCCUGAUCCAGCAAUGCCGCGUGUGUGAUGAAGGCCUUCGGGUUGUAAAGCACUUUUGGCGGGAACGAAAAGGACUAUGCCAAUACCACGAUUCGAUGACGGUACCCGCAGAAUAAGCACCGGCUAACUACGUG